rnacentral:misc_RNA from 1 species
AAAAAAAAAAAAAAAAAAACCUGAAAGUAUUAUUAUGUCUACAACAAAGGGUAAUUGAUUUUUUUUUUAAAAAUUAUUUUUCAAUUGGGAAUUUUUAACUCAACAAUGGAAGUCUAUGUUGGGGUAAAUAUUAAAAUUAAAAACAGUUGUGACUGUAACGGGUAAGAAUGUGAAUACCAUUUGGCACUCAAUCCUUUCCUUGUACCUUUGUAUGCUAUGUAAUUUGAAGAGACCCUUGUAAGUAAAAGGGACAUGAAAAAAUGAAUAUAUCAUAAAACUUUUCCCAAAAA